rnacentral:rRNA from 1 species
GUGCCAGCAGCCGCGGUAAUACGUAGGGAGCGAGCGUUGUCCGGAUUUACUGGGCGUAAAGGGCGCGUAGGCGGUCUGUUAAGCAUGAAGUGAAAUCCCCAGGGCUCAACCCGGGAACUGCUUUGUGAACUGGCAGACUGGAGGAAGGCAGAGGUGAGUGGAAUUCCCGGUGUAGCGGUGACAUGCAUUGAUAUCGGGAGGAACACCCAUGGCGAAGGCAGCUCACUGGGCCUUUCCUGACGCUGAGGCGCGAAAGCGUGGGUAGCAAACAGAAUUAGAUACUCUGGUAGUCCACGCCCUAAACGAUGGAUGCUAGGCGUGAGGGGUAUCGACCCCCCUUGUGCCGAAGGUAACCCAUUAAGCAUCCCGCCUGGGGAGUACGGCCGCAAGGUUGAA